AGAGGAGCUUGCUCCUCGGAACAGUGGCGGACGGGUGAGUAACACGUGAGCAACCUGGCUCUAAGAGGGGGACAACAGUUGGAAACGACUGCUAAUACCGCAUAACGUAUCGGGAUGGCAUCUUCCUGAUACCAAAGAUUUUAUCGCUUAGAGAUGGGCUCGCGUCUGAUUAGAUAGUUGGCGGGGUAACGGCCCACCAAGUCGACGAUCAGUAGCCGGACUGAGAGGUUGAACGGCCACAUUGGGACUGAGACACGGCCCAGACUCCUACGGGAGGCAGCAGUGGGGGAUAUUGGACAAUGGGGGCAACCCUGAUCCAGCGACGCCGCGUGAGGGAAGAAGGUUUUCGGAUUGUAAACCUCUGUUGACGGAGAAAAAAAUGAUGGUAUCCGUUUAGAAAGCCACGGCUAACUACGUGCCAGCAGCCGCGGUAAUACGUAGGUGGCAAGCGUUGUCCGGAAUUACUGGGUGUAAAGGGAGUGUAGGCGGGAUAGCAAGUCAGAAGUGAAAAUUACGGGCUCAACUCGUAACCUGCUUUUGGAACUGACAUUCUUGAGUGAAGUAGAGGCAAGCGGAAUUCCUAGUGUAGCGGUGAAAUGCGUAGAUAUUAGGAGGAACACCAGUGGCGAAGGCGGCUUGCUGGGCUUUUACUGACGCUGAGGCUCGAAAGCGUGGGGAGCAAACAGGAUU
rnacentral:rRNA from 1 species